rnacentral:rRNA from 1 species
UACAGAGGUCCCAAGCGUUGUUCGGAUUCAUUGGGCGUAAAGGGUGCGUAGGCGGCGCGGUAAGUCGGGUGUGCAAUCUCGGAGCUUAACUCCGAAACUGCAUUCGAUACUGCCGUGCUUGAGGACUGGAGAGGAGACUGGAAUUUACGGUGUAGCGGUGAAAUGCGUAGAUAUCGUAAGGAAGACCAGUGGCGAAGGCGGGUCUCUGGACAGUUCCUGACGCUGAGGCACGAAGGCCAGGGGAGCAAACGGG